CGAAAGUUGAUAAGAAAAAUAAUGGUAAGUGUAAUAGAAUGCUAUGCUUAACACUAUGGAAUGUCAUAGUGAUGUCACAUCCUGCGCUUCCUCAUUAAAGCCUUGACAGUUUCUGCAUUUAUGCCAUAUCUAAUCCAGCCAAAGGACUAACAUGAUUAUACUAAUAAUCAUCAAACUGAUAAUUCUGCAGCAUAUUUCAGAAUCCAGUGAUGUUACACAGACACCAGUAUUAUGGGUUUCACAGGGUGAAUCUGCACAAAUGAACUGCAGUCAUACUAUGGGUGCAGGCUAUAACUACAUGUAUUGGUUUCAACAACGAAAGGGAGAAACAAUGAGACUCAUUGCUUUCACAAUGCUAGGCAGCAAGCCAGACUUUGGUGAAUUUUCUGUUGAUAAAUACUCAGCUGAAAAGACUGUAGCUGAUAAAGGGUCUUUCACAGUGAAGAAGCUGCAGCCCGAUGACAGUGGUGUGUAUUUCUGUGCAGUGAGUAAACACAGUGACACAGACCUACUGUGCUGCUGUACAAAAACCUAAAAUGUUCAUGCUCCCUAAACACAGAACAGGUGCUAUGACAGAUGUUAAUAAUGACAAUGAAAUUUUGCAGUUUGUUUGCAGCGCCGCCAUAUAAUGAUUGUGACCACCAGCUUCCAAAUUAUAUAAUAAAUAAAUAAAUAAAUACCCAAAUUAAAUAAAUAAAUAAUAUCAGUUCAUUAAUAUUAUGACAAAAUUACCUGGUUGUUACUCCUCCUGCAAGAGUUGAUGGAGGUUGCAUGAUGAAAACAGUUUUAAACAAAGCCAUAGCAAAAGCUGUUGCAACACUGAACAACACAAUGGUUGAGCCACAAUAGAACAUGAAUCCAGCAGAUGGUGCUAAAGGCUAACAUUUACAGUAUAUUACAGGAGAAGUAGCUCACAUUACUCGUUUUUUUGUGCCUCGUAAAUUCUCUUUCAGUACAAACAUUUUAUUUUAUUUUAUUUUAUUAACUUCUCUCCCUGUUUAAACCAUUAACAAAAUGAAC
rnacentral:lncRNA from 1 species